AUUGAACGCUGGCGGCAGGCCUAACACAUGCAAGUCGAACGAGUGGCGGACGGGUGAGUAAUGUCUGGGAAACUGCCUGAUGGAGGGGGAUAACUACUGGAAACGGUAGCUAAUACCGCAUACCAUCAGAUGUGCCCAGAUGGGAUUAGCUUGUUGGUGGGGUAACGGCUCACCAAGGCGACGAUCCCUAGCUGGUCUGAGAGGAUGACCAGCCACACUGGAACUGAGACACGGUCCAGACUCCUACGGGAGGCAGCAGUGGGGAAUAUUGGACAAUGGGCGAAAGCCUGAUGGAGCAAGGCCGCGUGAAUGAAGAAGGCUUUCGGGUUGUAAAGUACUUUUAGCGGGGAGGCGUUAUCUGCAGAAGAAGCACCGGCUAACUCCGUGCCAGCCGCCGCGGUAAUUC
rnacentral:rRNA from 1 species